rnacentral:rRNA from 1 species
UUCCGUAGGUGAACCUGCGGAAGGAUCAUUACCGAGUGUAGGGUUCCUAGCGAGCCCAACCUCCCACCCGUGUUUACUGUACCUUAGUUGCUUCGGCGGGCCCGCCAUUCAUGGCCGCCGGGGGCUCUCAGCCCCGGGCCCGCGCCCGCCGGAGACACCACGAACUCUGUCUGAUCUAGUGAAGUCUGAGUUGAUUGUAUCGCAAUCAGUUAAAACUUUCAACAAUGGAUCUCUUGGUUCCGGCAUCGAUGAAGAACGCAGCGAAAUGCGAUAACUAGUGUGAAUUGCAGAAUUCCGUGAAUCAUCGAGUCUUUGAACGCACAUUGCGCCCCCUGGUAUUCCGGGGGGCAUGCCUGUCCGAGCGUCAUUGCUGCCCAUCAAGCACGGCUUGUGUGUUGGGUCGUCGUCCCCUCUCCGGGGGGGACGGGCCCCAAAGGCAGCGGCGGCACCGCGUCCGAUCCUCGAGCGUAUGGGGCUUUGUCACCCGCUCUGUAGGCCCGGCCGGCGCUUGCCGAACGCAAAUCAAUCUUUUUCCAGGUUGACCUCGGAUCAGGUAGGGAUACCCGCUGAACUUAAGCAUAUCAAUAAGCGGAGGA